rnacentral:rRNA from 1 species
AAAACUAGCUACUCUUUUGGGUAUGAAACCCAUUUGGGCGAGAGUAGUACUAGGAUGGGUGACCUCCUUGGAAGUCCUCGUGAAAGGGUUUC